rnacentral:rRNA from 1 species
CUACGUAGGUGCGAGCGUUGUUCCGGAAUUACGUGGGCUGAAAGAGCAUCGGUAGGUGGCGGUGUCGCGGUCUGCCGUGAAGACCCAUGGCUUAACUGUGGGUCUGCGGUGGAUACGGGCAGGCUGGAGGCUGGUAGGGGCAAGCGGAAUUCCUGGUGUAGCGGUGGAAAUGCGCAGAUAUCAGGAGGAACACCGGUGGCGAAGGCGGGUCUCUGGGCCGAUACUGACGCUGAGGAGCGAAAGCGUGGGGAGCGAACAGG